GACGUAGGGGGCAAGCGUUGUCCGGAAUCAUUGGGCGUAAAGCGCGCGUAGGUGGCCCCGUAAGUCCGCUGUGAAAGUCAAAGGCUCAACCUUUGAAAGCCGGUGGAUACUGUGGGACUAGAGUACGGAAGAGGCGAGUGGAAUUCCUGGUGUAGCGGUGGAAUGCGCAGAUAUCAGGAGAAACACCAAUAGCGAAGGCAGCUCGCUGGGACGGUACUGACGCUGAGACGCGAAAGCGUGGGGGAGCAAACAGG
rnacentral:rRNA from 1 species